AUUGAACGCUGGCGGCAGGCUUAACACAUGCAAGUCGAGCGAGCGGCGGACGGGUGAGUAAUGUCUGGGAAACUGCCUGAUGGAGGGGGAUAACUACUGGAAACGGUAGCUAAUCCCGCCUACUAUCAGAUGGGCCCAGAGGGGAUUAGCUUGUAGGUGGGGCAAUGGCUCACCUAGGCGACGCCCCCUCGCUGGGCUGAGAGGAUGACCAGGCAGACGGGAACUGAGACACGGUCCAGACUCCUACGGGAGGCAGCAGUGGGGAAUAUGGCACAAUGGGCGCAAGCCUGAUACAGCCAUGCCGCGUGUGUGAAGAAGGCCUUCGGGUUGUAAAGCACUUUCAGCGAGGAGGCGUUACUCGCAGAAGAAGCACCGGCUAACUCCGUGCCAGCCGCCGCGGUAAUAC
rnacentral:rRNA from 1 species